rnacentral:rRNA from 1 species
GACGUAGGGUGCGAGCGUUGUCCGGAGUUAUUGGGCGUAAAGGGCGCGUAGGCGGCCUGGCGCGUCGCACGUGAAAUCCCCGGGCUCAACCCGGGAACUGCGUCCGAUACUGGAAGGCUUGAAUCCGGGAGAGGGAUGCGGAAUUCCAGGUGUAGCGGUGAAAUGCGUAGAUAUCUGGAGGAACACCGGUGGCGAAGGCGGCAUCCUGGACCGGCAUUGACGCUGAGGCGCGAAAGCCAGGGGGGCAAACGGG